CAGAGGACCUAAGUCUGGUUGAUGUAAGGACGUCAUAUCGGUGUCCUGCCUGAAAGAAAAUAAUAACACAAUGUGUGGUUGCUGCAUUUCCUGUUUCCUUAAAUAACACCAACAUGAGAAGCAUAUCAGGAUGAUGAGGAAUAGCUUUGCCUGAAAUCUUACUCUUGUCAGCAGUAAGUUACUCUGCUUACUUCUAACUCUCCCCUUGUGUCCGUCUCUUCUCAGGGUCCAGUCUCAGCGUCUGGUGGUCCGGCACCACAGGGGGGCUCCUCAGACGCCAGAUGGACCUUUCUUUUAGGGGCAGAAAGCAUCGAGUCGGGGCUGGAGUCAGUACUCGCCCUGAUCUUGGGGACAAACAUGUGCAUUUGGGCUUUAGCCAUUUUCAUUCAAGUCAAUUUACCUUUCUGCAUUUUCAGCAAAGUUCAGCAUCACAUGUCACCUUUUAGACACUUUUAUCCAAAGCAAGUUACAUACUUUCAACACUGAGGACAAUCCUCACAGGAGCACUUUGGGGUGAAGUGUUUUGCCCAGGGACACAACGACAUGCUGACUGCAGAGGAACCAGUAAAUGACCUGUCUGUCUCCAUGGUGAUGACCCUGCCCACCCACGCUGAGCAGCUAUUGGAUGAUGACUAUGAUGAUGUCAUGUCUGCUGUGACCACAGAGCAUCAGUUCUGAAACAGAGACGGCAAAAGACCCAGAACGCUUCCCUGAGGAACUCCACGUGUCCUCGUUGCCAUGGCGAUGUUAUAAUUACACAUUUCAAGAUAAAAAAACUCGCUCACCAUCCGAUUGGUUUUAAAGAUUCUUUAUUAUAGCUUGACAAAUCAUUCUGUGUUACUGAGAUGAAGUACAUUUUGAAUUGUAUAACUUUCUUUAACAAUCUGUCAUUUCCCCCUCUGUACUUUUAUAACAUGUUAAAUUAAAGCAACAGAACUUUGAUUAAAAUGCUUUUUUUAACGUAACAGUACUUUGGCUUGAAUAAAAUGUCUUUAAAUCCUUUUCUACGUCACAAGCUUUAUUAUAUUCCGUAACUCUGAGGCUUUGGUCUGUUAGCAUUAGCAGCUAAUGCUAAGCACAAAGAACACACGUGCACAAUAUAAAAUAAAAACAAGAACUAAUUAUAAAA